GCGCCUGUAGCUCAAGCGGAGAGAGCAACGGUCUUCUAAACCGUAGGUUCCAGGUUCGAGUCCUGGCAGGCGCGCCA
rnacentral:tRNA from 1 species